UCAAAAUGGUCAAACUUGGUCAACGGUAGUCAGUCAAGACCCGGAAUGUCGUAAUUGCACGCUAGCGAGUUCAUGUUCUUGGAACGACAUCACGCAAUCAUACUAAGCUAGCUUUGCACAGGAAUGUCAAGGAAUGUCGUAAUUGCACGCUAGCGAGUUCAUGUUCUUGGAACGACAUCACGCAAUCAUACUAAGCUAGCUUUGCACAGGAAUGUCAAGGUGAG